UACGUAGGGUGCAAGCGUUGCCCGGAUUUAUUGGGCGUAAAGGGCGCGUAGGCGGCCACGCACGUCCGUUGUGAAAUCGCCCGGCUCAACUGGGCGGGGUCGGCGGAUACGGCGUGGCUGGAGCAAGCUAGGGGGCAAUGGAAUUCCCGGUGUAGUGGUGGAAUGCGUAGAUAUCGGGAGGAACACCAGUGGCGAAGGCGGUUGCCUGGAGCUUUGCUGACGCUGAGGCGCGAAAGCCAGGGGAGCGAACGGG
rnacentral:rRNA from 1 species